rnacentral:rRNA from 1 species
UGCUAGUUGUACGAGUUCAGACUCGUAGCAUAUAGCUCAGUAACACGUGGCCAAACUACCCUAUGGACAGCGACACUCUCGGGAAACUGAGGCUAAUCGCUGAUACAGCUUCCACGUUGGAAUUACAGGAAGCUGGAAACGCCCCGGCGCCAUAGGAUGUGGCUGCGGCCGAUUAGGUAGACGGUGGGGUAACGGCCCACCGUGCCAAUAAUCGGUACGGGUGAUGAGAGUCAGAGCCCGGAGACGGUAUCUGAGACAAGAUACCGGGCCCUACGGGGCGCAGCAGGCGCGAAACCUUUACACUGCACGACAGUGCGAUAGGGGGACUCCGAGUGCGAGGGCAUAUAGUCCUCGCUUUUCUGUACCGUAAGGUGGUACAGGAACAAGUGCUGGGCAAGACCGGUGCCGGCCGCCGCGGUAAUACCGGCAGCACGAGUGAUGGCCGAUUUUAUUGGGCCUAAAGCGUCCGUAGCCGGCCGGACAAGUUUGUUGGGAAAUCCACGUGCUUAACACGUGGGCGUCCAGCGAAAACUGUCUGGCUUGGGGCCGGAAGACUCGAGGGGUACGUCCGGGGUAGGAGUGAAAUCCCGUAAUCCUGGACGGACCGCCGGUGGCGAAAGCGCCUCGAGAGAACGGACCCGACGGUGAGGGACGAAAGCCAGGGUCUCGAACCGGAUUAGAUACCCGGGUAGUCCUGGCCGUAAACGAUGUCUGCUAGGUGUGGCGCAGGCUACGAGCCUGCGUU